rnacentral:lncRNA from 1 species
AAAUAUCAAGAUUUUUCAAUAAUCUCAGGUUGCAAAUGGUGUUAGAUAAUUUCGAAAAGGUUGUUCCCUUGGCUCUGAGCUCUAUUAAAGAUUCAAUGUUCCCCAGUUCAACAGGUAAUGCUUCCACUUUAGUGCAAUACAUAAUACUUAGAACUUCCAAUGUUCUCAAGUUGCAAAUGGUGUUUGGAAGAUAUUCAAGGUUCUCGUUAUAGUCUAAUUUCAGCUUAACAAGCUUACUAAGAUCUCCGAUCGAAUCUGGUAAUUGCAGAACACGUAGCCAGCGAGCAUUGAGCUCUAGUAAGGAUUUAAGGUUUCCCAAUUGUGUUGGCAAUGCUUUUAGCCAUAUACAUGCAUCAACACAUAAAACUUCCAAUGCUUUCAACUCGCAAAUGGUAUCCGGAAGACUUCUUAGGCUUGAACAACUCUUCAAAUUUAAGGAAACAAGGUUCACCAAACUUCCAAUUGAUAUAUGGACCUCCUUCAAACUUGUACAGCCCUCAAGAUAUAAAUUUUCGAGGCGCGGCAGUCUCGUGAAAUCCGGCGUGGUAGUUAAAUCCCUGGAAAACCUCAUGUUUAGAGUCUUUAAAUUUUCGAGACACGGCGGUCUUCUGAAAUCUGGGAUAGUUAAACCAUGGGAAAACCGCGUGAUCAGAGUCUUUAGCUUCUCCAAAACAUUUGAAACCUGCAAUAAUGAGUGUGAUUAAGAGGUAUCAAAUCAGAAAUUUUUGAAUUUUAACUCUUCAUAGAUGUAAGAAACAGACAGAGUACCUACCAUCGUGUCCUCCCACAUAGUUGUCAAUUUGCUUUUGGGCAACUCAAGAAUAACAAGUUUUACAAGGCAGAAAUCAGAAGGUAAACACUUUAAGGGACAGUGAUUCCAGAAAAACCACCUCAAAUCUUCUAGUGUCCCUGUAAACUCUCCGCUGAGAUUAAUGUUCUUUAAGUAAAGAAAUCUUAAUUUACUCAUUCUUCUUAAUGUCUCCGUAGAAAACAGUACUUCCACCUCAGGUCCAUUAUAAAUGAUACCUUCAACGGCUUCUGUUCCCUAACACAUGCAUAUCAAUAAGAUAAGUUACUUACCGUACUUGUACAAUAAAUAAUUACCACAUCAAUACAUAAUUUCAUCUUAUGUGUAAUUUCUUAUACCUAGAUUAAGAAAAAAAGUUGAUGAACGAAUUUAAGUCAAAUAAAUUCAGAUGAAUCAAUUAGAUUGAUCUGGUACCAUUCUUGAAUAUACAUAUAGUGUAAUUACCUUGUGUUCCUUUAACACAGAGCAUAUUUCUUUUGGUACCCAUAAUCUACUAUGCUUUCCAGGCUCGUCAGGAGAGUUAUUAUGCGCGAUUUCCUUUCCCAUAUCCUGAAUCAGAUCAUGCAUUCGCAAUUCAUCUCUACUUUCCUUUCCCAUAUCCAGAAGCAGAUCAUGCAUUCGGAAUUCAUCUCUACUGUUUAUCGUUAAUAAACAUCUAUUCUUGAGAAUAUCAAUCUUAUCAUCUGCGUAGGGAUAAUAAGUAUCUAAUAUUUCAACCACCUUUUCUUUGUUCCAUCCGAUGAAUAGACAAGAAAUGUCAAGGAACAUUUUCUUUAGCAGAGGAUCAUCUGAUUCCAAGGCUUCCAAGCUGAUUUUAAGUUUUUCUUGGAUACGGCUGUUGGGACUUCGCUGCAGUGUCUCGAUGUAUGAUUUCCAUCUAACCUCGGAUUUCUUAUACAAGGAUGAACCGAAAACCUCGAGAGCCAAGGGAAGCCCUCCAGCAAGACGUAGAAUGUCUUUAGACAAUAUCUUUAGAGUAUUGCUUGGUUGAGCAUCUCCAAAUGCAUGGCGGAAGAAUAGUGUCUCUGACUCAGCAUCACUCAGCACAUUAACCUUGUAUCGAUUUUGAGUUUCUACUUCAAUUUUAUCCAAUAUCUCUUCAUCCCUUGUAGUUAUAAUAACUACACUCCCAGGAGCAAAUCGUCUCACCAGUGAUUGAAAUUCUUGAUGGUCCUCUAAAUCAUCGAUAACAACCAAAAUUUUUGCUGAACAAAUUUUUUGAUCUAUCAGCUUAAUUCCUUGGCCAACACUGUUAACCUCAACUUUAUUCUUACUUCUAAGAACAUCGUUAAUAAGUUGUUGUUGCAAAGACUCUAGACCUUUUGAAUUCCCCAAACUCUCCCUCACAUUUGCGAGGAAGCAGCUUCCCUUAAAGCUUCCCGGCAAGAGUUUAUUAAAAAGUGCUUUGGCAAGAGUUGUUUUACCUAUGCCACCCAUACCAAAUAGACCGAUCUUAAUGACAUCUUUUGUGCCCCUGCUCAGCAAUGCUGUUAUGUCUUUAAGGCGGGAAUCCAAUCCUACUGGAUAUCUGGCAACAUCUAAAGAAAAGGAUUGUAUUUGCAGUAGAAUUUCGUCAACAAUUUCAUUGACAAUAUCAGCUUCAGACCUGCAUUGUAAUUUUGGUAAUUACAAAAGGAAGAGAGCCUUGUAUCUAUAAUUUAAGUGAAGCUUCACAACCACACAGCUAUAAAAAUUAGGCUUAAUGCCCUUUUAACCCUCCAUGUUUGUGGGUAUGUACUGAUGCAGCAUCAAUAUUUUAAAUCGGCCGAUUCAACCCUCCAUAUAUCCGAUAUAUUCCGAUUAGCCCUCAUAUACCAAAAAACAACCGAUGGACAACCAUCACAUUUCACACUCCUGAGAGUUAAAAGAGCAUUAAAUAUUGAGGGUUAAAAGGGUACCUUAAACACACGUAUUCUUCAGAGGUUAAAAGGAACGGGCAAACUUUACCUUAAAAAGAAUAAAAAAUACCCUCCUUUAUAUAUCCUUUUUUGACUCCAUCCCUGUACGAGGGCUAAUCGGAACAUAUCAAUACUUGACGGGUUUAAAUUGCCCGACCGCAUCGAUAUACACCCUAAACAUAAAAGAGCAUUUAGCCUAGAAAUUAACUACAUACUUAAUUCCUAUCAUCAACCACACAAGCAACAAAUCACAUGAAAUUAGCCGCUAAUUAUACAUAGAAUAUACAAUGAACUUACGUUUUACCGUCUACAUGUUUCCCUGAAUUAUUGGCAACUUCUUUCAGUGCAAGCCGCCAUUUCUCAACUCUUUCCAUUUCACCCCCAAAUCUAAUUUCAUGUCUUUUAAAAUCACUUUCAAAGCCCCCUUUCUGGUACCUAACAACCGAUGGAUCAACGUUAUAAAACACCGGAAUAACCGUUCUUUGCAUUGCUCUGCUACAAUUGAGGAUCGCUACGAGCUCGUCAAGGCACCAGCUCGAAGAAGCAUAAUUCUGAGAGAGGACAACGACGUAGAUCUUCGAUUCCUGAAUAGCUUUGAGCAACGCGUCGGAGAUGACUUCUCCGCAGCGAAGCUCGGGAUCGUCUUUAAAUGUUGGAAUAUUGUAGCGGUCCAGGGCGGAAUAUAAGUGGCUGGUGAAAGUGUAUCGGGUGUCUAUGCCGCGGAAGCUCAGGAAAACGUCCCAGCUGGGAGAUGGAGUUUGAGAAGUUGGGGAAGCCAUUGGAUAGGGUGAAUGGGAGGAUGAUUUGUGGAGAAGAUGAGUAGUUAAGUUGCAAUAUAGCAGCUCAGUGUGGAGAGUAGAGAUUGAAUAUCAUUAUUGAUGCAUAGCAAUGAUGAGAGGUGCACAGUAUGAUUUCAAAAAGUAACUGGGUCUGGGGUCCCAUCAAGACAUUUUUCUUUUGUCAGUCGUCAAGACAUCUUUAUCCGGGAAGAUUUUUGUGGAAAAAACUACUCCUUCUCUCUCUAAAAACAUUCAAAUAUCGGCGUUAUUCAUAACACGAGACAAAUUAUUAAUUUAUAUUUAAAUUAUAAGAUAAAAUAUAGUAAUGAGUGAUUUGGUUGGAUUCGUAUUUAUGAAUACUUUAAUACGGUGAAAUUUUUAUGUUUAAUACUAAUAUAAAAUCAAUGAUAUUAAUGAUCAAUAGUGUGUAUUGACAAACGUGAUAAAGAUAAACAGUAAAAAUAUGAUAAACGGAAAAAGUAUUUAGGGACGGUUGAAAUAAACACGCAUAUUAAGAAAAUGAUUGGUUAGAUAUAAUUUUAUGUCAUGUAUCAUUAAUUGGUACAUUGAUAAAGGAAAAUAGAGUUGAGUUUCAAAAAAAUCACAAUAAAUAUAGUGAUUUAGUGCAUUGAAAAAUAAGAAUAAUGUUGAGUUUCAAAAAAGUCAUAAUUAAUAUAGAGAUAAAGUUGUAUUGAAAAAAGAGAAGGACAAGUAUAUUGGGACAAAUUUUUUUCCCAAAAAAGACCUAUAAAAUGAGACGGAGGGAGUAAUAUUUUUUAAAAAUUUUAUUUUUUAAAUAAAAUUUUAUAUAUUAAAUUUGUAUUCAGAAAAAAAAUUAAAAAAAUUUGUGGAACCAUAAUUUAAAGAAAUACUAAAAAUACAUGCCGAAAAAUAACGUAUACAAUUUCAUCAGGACCGGGGAGUAUCAUUAUUAAUUAAUGAGAUAUAAGUAAAUAGAAAAUUACUCAAUCAUGUAUCCUCAUUGUUCUGCUUAUUUCCUUACACUUCUUUUUUUUUUUACAUUCCUCGACACAUUUUACCUUCCAGAAUUUUAUGAACUUGGCCUUACAAGACAGAGAAAGAAAUUACUAAAAAAAAAUUUGCAUCUUGGCUUACAAUCAACAAAUAUUGAAUACAGACAUUAUACUGUUAUGUCAAUGAACCGGCAUAUACAACAUAAUGGAGAUGUGGUUGAUGCUACAACUUCAAGCAAAGGAAAUUUGGAUAUUGAGACUGAAGUUUGGCUCCUAAGUAAUGUUCAUCACGAAUCAUCAGUCUACUUGGAUGCUGUCACAAAUGAUCAGAGGUACUUCCUGUAUUCGAAUACAUGGAAAACAGAAGCCUUGAUAAAAAUACAUCUUGCAGGCUAGGUGGUAUAAAAACGAAUCAGGUUCAUUAAACAGUGGUACCUGCAUCUUCUACUUGAAAUCACUGUCUGACAGUGGUGUUAUCAUCCUCGUUUUUGUACAGUAGAUGAAACCAAACUCUGCCAGCAUUUGAUGUAACUUUGAUUGUAUGAUUGAAAUCUGCGAGUGGAAAUAUUGAUCUUGGUAUUGUUACUAUAUUUGAUCCACAUAGCAUCUUUUGGCCCAUUGAAUGAUAAUUUGUCGUAACAGUAUAAUAGACUUCUUUAACAUCAAAGACUUCUUGAAUCCGUGGUGGAAAGCAGAGAAUCAUCCCCAAGUAAUUGUGUGACAAAUUUGCUUGCAGAUUCACAGAGGAUGAAAUGUCAUAUGCCAAGUCAUCUUCCAUCAACUCCAAAAUCUUUUCUACCUCAACCCCAAUACCAAUUUCGUGGUCAAAACCACAAUAAAUCUUGUACAAAAAGGAAAACAAAAACGUUAACCAAAAAUAUGUAACCAAACAACGACUACAAAUGUAAAUUUCAAUCAAACUUUAGUUAAUUUGAUUGCGAACAAGUCAAAACUGGACCUCUAAUUAGAAGUAGAUAAUUGAUUAACCAACUAAUAGUUAUUUUUAUAAGAUAAGAGUUUGAGAUCUUCGCAAAACCUGAAAUAAUUGCAUUGUAAGAGUGCGUGCCAGUAGAGAGGAAUGACAACCUCGCAAUUGCAGGUCGUAUAAAGAAGUGAGUUCCCCCAAGCCCAAAAUCUUUGUUAAAGCACAACAAUCUGUGAGGUCCAAUUCCUUCAACAGUUUCAGAUUGGAUACGUUCACUCUUUNNNNNNNNNNNNNNNNNNNNNNNNNNNNNNNNNNNNNNNNNNNNNNNNNNNNNNNNNNNNNNNNNNNNNNNNNNNNNNNNNNNNNNNNNNNNNNNNNNNNNNNNNNNNNNNNNNNNNNNNNNNNNNNNNNNNNNNNNNNNNNNAAUGCGUGUCAGAUAAGGAGGAAGAUCUGCAAUGGACAACAGAUUACCACAACCUGAAAGAUCUGCAAUGGAUAAGUUUGUAAGCUUCCACAGUUGAUCAGGCAAGCUGUCUAGUUUAUAACAAUCAGAAAUAUCAAGAAUUUCCAAUAAUCUCAUGUUGCAAAUGGUGUUAGGUAAUUUCGAAACGGUUGUUCCCCCGGCUCUGAGCUCUAUUAAAGAUUCAAUGUUCCCCAGUUCAACAGGUAAUGCUUCCACUUUAGGGCAAUACAUAAUACUUAGAACUUCCAAUGCUCUCAAGUUGCAAAUGGUGUUUGGAAGAUAUUCAAGCUUCUCGUUAUAAUCUAAUUUCAGCUUAACAAGC